rnacentral:rRNA from 1 species
UACGUAGGGCGCGAGCGUUGUCCGGAAUUAUUGGGCGUAAAGAGCUCGUAGGUGGCUUGUUGCGUCUGCCGUGAAAGCCCGUGGCUUAACUACGGGUCUGCGGUGGAUACGGGCAGGCUAGAGGCUGGUAGGGGCAAGCGGAAUUCCUGGUGUAGCGGUGAAAUGCGCAGAUAUCAGGAGGAACACCGGUGGCGAAGGCGGCUUGCUGGGCCAGUUCUGACGCUGGGGAGCGAAAGCGUGGGGAGCGAACAGG